AUGGAGCACCUGAACUCCUCCAGCACCUCCAGCAUGGACCCCACCUCCCUGGAUUUAGGUCGCCUGACUUCAAACAUCGUCCUGGGGCUGUGCUGUGUGCUGGGCCUCCCUGGUAACAUAGCUGUUCUGGUGGUCAAACUGCGCAGCUCGUCCCAACACCCCAACUUUACCGUGUGUCUCAUGCUGAACCUGGCGUCCUCUGACAUCUUGUACAUGGCCACGAUACAUGUGUGUAUCUAUACUCUCCUGCCUGAGCCACUGACACGCAGCACAAUGAUGAUGUCACUGAUUCUACUGCUGGGGACACUGGGGCUCCUUGUUCAGGACUCAUCAGCAGAUAUAAUUCUGACUCAGUCUCCUAAAUCUCAGUCUGUUAGUCCAGGAGAGGUUGUCUCUCUCAGCUGUACAGCCAGUUCAAGUACUGGUAAUGCGCUUAGCUGGUACCUGCAGAAACCUGGAGAAGCUCCUAAACUCCUGGUUCAUAGUGCUACAACCCGUCAGUCUGGGAUUCCAGGUCGUUUCAGUGGGAGUGGAUCUGGUAGUCCUUAUACUCAUUACACUCUGACCAUCAGUGGAGUCCAGGCUGAAGAUGCAGGAGAUUACUACUGUCAGCAGGGUGGCAGCUAUCCGUUCACACAGUGUUAGAGCUUCGUACAAAAACCUCCCUCAGCUAAAGAGGAACUGCUCUGACUCAACAGCUGCAGAGCUACAGAGUCUCCCGUAUUCUAAAGUAUUUUAAACACCAAUUCUUUGAAAAAUGACGCAUACUGUACAUAUCUCUCUAUAUAUUCUCCAAAUAUGUUAAAUCUUUGCAAACACACUGGGACCAAUAAGGAUACAGAGCUGUAGAAAAUGCUUUCUUUUGAAGGACAUGUUAAGCAAAGUUUAGGUUUAGGGGUUUAGAUUUACGCUUCGAUUUCUCUUCAUAUUGUAAGAAGAACUCAUUUCAGUACACAACAGCAUGAGUGUUGACCCCGUCUGAACCAAACUAUUCAUGCCCUACUCAACUUCUAUACGCCUCCAAACUUGAAUGAGUGAAUACAG